AGAGUUAUCCAUAUACUAGUGAAUUACCCGCGCGAUGCUGCAGAUAUAAAAUUAUUUUUAUAAUAAAUUUUAUUUUUUUAAUAUUUUUGUAUAGUUCUAUAAGUCUAAUUAUUAAUUAAAUAAAAAUUAUAUAAAAAUAAUUUAAUAGUUAAAUCUAUUUAAAUAAAAGUCAUUAAAAUUGGUAUAUGCGCAAAGUAAAUUUAUACAAUAAUUUAUUUUAUAAAAAAUUAUAU
rnacentral:lncRNA from 1 species